GAUGAACGCUGGCGGCGUGCCUAAUACAUGCAAGUCGAGCGAACAGAUAAGGAGCUUGCUCCUUUGAAGUUAGCGGCGGACGGGUGAGUAACACGUGGGUAACCUACCUAUAAGACUGGGAUAACUUCGGGAAACCGGAGCUAAUACCGGAUAACAUUUAGAACCGCAUGGUUCUAAAGUGAAAGAUGGUUUUGCUAUCACUUAUAGAUGGACCCGCGCCGUAUUAGCUAGUUGGUAAGGUAACGGCUUACCAAGGCGACGAUACGUAGCCGACCUGAGAGGGUGAUCGGCCACACUGAGACUGAGACACGGUCCAGACUCCUACGGGAGGCAGCAGUAGGGAAUCUUCCGCAAUGGGCGAAAGCCUGACGGAGCAACGCCGCGUGAGUGAUGAAGGGUUUCGGCUCGUAAAACUCUGUUAUUAGGGAAGAACAAAUGUGUAAGUAACUGUGCACAUCUUGACGGUACCUAAUCAGAAAGCCACGGCUAACUACGUGCCAGCAGCCGCGGUAAUACGUAGGUGGCAAGCGUUAUCCGGAAUUAUUGGGCGUAAAGCGCGCGUAGGCGGUUUCUUAAGCUUGAUGUGAAAGCCCACGGCUCAACCGUGGAGGGUCAUUGGAAACUGGGAAACUUGAGUGCAGAAGAGGAAAGUGGAAUUCCAUGUGUAGCGGUGAAAUGCGCAGAGAUAUGGAGGAACACCAGUGGCGAAGGCGACAAUCUGGUCUGUAACUGACGCUGAUGUGCGAAAGCGUGGGGAUCAAACAGGAUUAGAUACCCUGGUAGUCCACGCCGUAAACGAUGAGUGCUAAGUGUUAGGGGGUUUCCGCCCCUUAGUGCUGCAGCUAACGCAUUAAGCACUCCGCCUGGGGAGUACGACCGCAAGGUUGAAACUCAAAGGAAUUGACGGGGACCCGCACAAGCGGUGGAGCAUGUGGUUUAAUUCGAAGCAACGCGAAGAACCUUACCAAAUCUUGACAUCCUUUGAAAACUCUAGAGAUAGAGCCUUCCCCUUCGGGGGACAAAGUGACAGGUGGUGCAUGGUUGUCGUCAGCUCGUGUCGUGAGAUGUUGGGUUAAGUCCCGCA
rnacentral:rRNA from 1 species